CUAUAAUGCAGUCGAGCGAAUGGAUUAAGAGCUUGCUCUUAUGAAGUUAGCGGCGGACGGGUGAGUAACACGUGGGUAACCUGCCCAUAAGACUGGGAUAACUCCGGGAAACCGGGGCUAAUACCGGAUAACAUUUUGAACCGCAUGGUUCGAAAUUGAAAGGCGGCUUCGGCUGUCACUUAUGGAUGGACCCGCGUCGCAUUAGCUAGUUGGUGAGGUAACGGCUCACCAAGGCAACGAUGCGUAGCCGACCUGAGAGGGUGAUCGGCCACACUGGGACUGAGACACGGCCCAGACUCCUACGGGAGGCAGCAGUAGGGAAUCUUCCGCAAUGGACGAAAGUCUGACGGAGCAACGCCGCGUGAGUGAUGAAGGCUUUCGGGUCGUAAAACUCUGUUGUUAGGGAAGAACAAGUGCUAGUUGAAUAAGCUGGCACCUUGACGGUACCUAACCAGAAAGCCACGGCUAACUACGUGCCAGCAGCCGCGGUAAUACGUAGGUGGCAAGCGUUAUCCGGAAUUAUUGGGCGUAAAGCGCGCGCAGGUGGUUUCUUAAGUCUGAUGUGAAAGCCCACGGCUCAACCGUGGAGGGUCAUUGGAAACUGGGAGACUUGAGUGCAGAAGAGGAAAGUGGAAUUCCAUGUGUAGCGGUGAAAUGCGUAGAGAUAUGGAGGAACACCAGUGGCGAAGGCGACUUUCUGGUCUGUAACUGACACUGAGGCGCGAAAGCGUGG
rnacentral:rRNA from 1 species